UUAAGCGACUAAGCGUACACGGUGGAUGCCCUGGCAGUCAGAGGCGAUGAAGGACGUGCUAAUCUGCGAAAAGCGUCGGUAAGGUGAUAUGAACCGUUAUAACCGGCGAUGUCCGAAUGGGGAAACCCAGUGUGAUUCGUCACACUAUCGUUAACUGAAUACAUAGGUUAACGAGGCGAACCGGGGGAACUGAAACAUCUAAGUACCCCGAGGAAAAGAAAUCAACCGAGAUUCCCCCAGUAGCGGCGAGCGAACGGGGAGCAGCCCAGAGUCUGAAUCAGCUUGUGUGUUAGUGGAACGGUCUGGAAAGUCCGACGGUACAGGGUGAUAGUCCCGUACACCAAAAUGCACAGGCUGUGAACUCGAAGAGUAGGGCGGGACACGUGGUAUCCUGUCUGAAUAUGGGGGGACCAUCCUCCAAGGCUAAAUACUCCUGACUGACCGAUAGUGAACCAGUACCGUGAGGGAAAGGCGAAAAGAACCCCGGCGAGGGGAGUGAAAAAGAACCUGAAACCGUGUACGUACAAGCAGUGGGAGCACCUUCGGGUGUGACUGCGUACCUUUUGUAUAAUGGGUCAGCGACUUAUAUUCUGUAGCAAGGUUAACCGUAUAGGGGAGCCGCAGGGAAACCGAGUCUUAACUGGGCGUUAAGUUGCAGGGUAUAGACCCGAAACCCGGUGAUCUAGCCAUGGGCAGGUUGAAGGUUGGGUAACACUAACUGGAGGACCGAACCGACUAAUGUUGAAAAAUUAGCGGAUGACUUGUGGCUGGGGGUGAAAGGCCAAUCAAACCGGGAGAUAGCUGGUUCUCCCCGAAAGCUAUUUAGGUAGCGCCUCGUGAAUUCAUCUUCGGGGGUAGAGCACUGUUUCGGCUAGGGGGUCAUCCCGACUUACCAACCCGAUGCAAACUACGAAUACCGAAGAAUGUUAUCACGGGAGACACACGGCGGGUGCUAACGUCCGUCGUGAAGAGGGAAACAACCCAGACCGCCAGCUAAGGUCCCAAAGUCAUGGUUAAGUGGGAAACGAUGUGGGAAGGCACAGACAGCCAGGAUGUUGGCUUAGAAGCAGCCAUCAUUUAAAGAAAGCGUAAUAGCUCACUGGUCGAGUCGGCCUGCGCGGAAGAUGUAACGGGGCUAAACCAUGCACCGAAGCUGCGGCAGCGACACUAUGUGUUGUUGGGUAGGGGAGCGUUCUGUAAGCCUGCGAAGGUGACCUGUGAGGGUUGCUGGAGGUAUCAGAAGUGCGAAUGCUGACAUAAGUAACGAUAAAGCGGGUGAAAAGCCCGCUCGCCGGAAGACCAAGGGUUCCUGUCCAACGUUAAUCGGGGCAGGGUGAGUCGACCCCUAAGGCGAGGCCGAAAGGCGUAGUCGAUGGGAAACAGGUUAAUAUUCCUGUACUUGGUGUUACUGCGAAGGGGGGACGGAGAAGGCUAUGUUAGCCGGGCGACGGUUGUCCCGGUUUAAGCAUGUAGGCUGAUUGUCCAGGCAAAUCCGGAUAAUCAAGGCUGAGGUGUGAUGACGAGGCACUACGGUGCUGAAGUAACAAAUGCCCUGCUUCCAGGAAAAGCCUCUAAGCAUCAGGUAACAUUAAAUCGUACCCCAAACCGACACAGGUGGUCAGGUAGAGAAUACCAAGGCGCUUGAGAGAACUCGGGUGAAGGAACUAGGCAAAAUGGUGCCGUAACUUCGGGAGAAGGCACGCUGGUGUGUAGGUGAAGCCCCUGCGGGUGGAGCUGAGACCAGUCGAAGAUACCAGCUGGCUGCAACUGUUUAUUAAAAACACAGCACUGUGCAAACACGAAAGUGGACGUAUACGGUGUGACGCCUGCCCGGUGCCGGAAGGUUAAUUGAUGGGGUUAUCCGUAAGGAGAAGCUCUUGAUCGAAGCCCCGGUAAACGGCGGCCGUAACUAUAACGGUCCUAAGGUAGCGAAAUUCCUUGUCGGGUAAGUUCCGACCUGCACGAAUGGCGUAAUGAUGGCCAGGCUGUCUCCACCCGAGACUCAGUGAAAUUGAACUCGCUGUGAAGAUGCAGUGUACCCGCGGCAAGACGGAAAGACCCCGUGAACCUUUACUAUAGCUUGACACUGAACAUUGAGCCUUGAUGUGUAGGAUAGGUGGGAGGCUUUGAAGCGUGGACGCCAGUCUGCGUGGAGCCAACCUUGAAAUACCACCCUUUAAUGUUUGAUGUUCUAACGUUGGCCCCUUACCGGGGUUGCGGACAGUGUCUGGUGGGUAGUUUGACUGGGGCGGUCUCCUCCCAAAGCGUAACGGAGGAGCACGAAGGUUAGCUAAUCCUGGUCGGACAUCAGGAGGUUAGUGCAAUGGCAUAAGCUAGCUUGACUGCGAGCGUGACGGCGCGAGCAGGUGCGAAAGCAGGUCAUAGUGAUCCGGUGGUUCUGAAUGGAAGGGCCAUCGCUCAACGGAUAAAAGGUACUCCGGGGAUAACAGGCUGAUACCGCCCAAGAGUUCAUAUCGACGGCGGUGUUUGGCACCUCGAUGUCGGCUCAUCACAUCCUGGGGCUGAAGUAGGUCCCAAGGGUAUGGCUGUUCGCCAUUUAAAGUGGUACGCGAGCUGGGUUUAGAACGUCGUGAGACAGUUCGGUCCCUAUCUGCCGUGGGCGCUGGAGAAUUGAGGGGGGCUGCUCCUAGUACGAGAGGACCGGAGUGGACGCAUCACUGGUGUUCGGGUUGUCAUGCCAAUGGCACUGCCCGGUAGCUAAAUGCGGAAGAGAUAAGUGCUGAAAGCAUCUAAGCACGAAACUUGCCCCGAGAUGAGUUCUCCCUGAGACUUUAAGUCUCCUGAAGGAACGUUAAAGACGAUGACGUUGAUAGGCCGGGUGUGUAAGCGCAGCGAUGCGUUGAGCUAACCGGUACUAAUGAACCGUGAGGCUUAACCUU
rnacentral:rRNA from 1 species